rnacentral:misc_RNA from 1 species
GAUGAAGAACGCAGCGAAAUGCGAUACUUGGUGUGAAUUGCAGAAUCCCGUGAACCAUCGAGUCUUUGAACGCAAGUUGCGCCCGAAGCCACUAGGCCGAGGGCACGCCUGCCUGUGCGUCACACGCCGUUGCCCCCCCAUCUACUCCUUCGGGAUUGCGGGGGGGCGGAUGAUGGCCUCCUGUGCGCCUAGCCGCGCGGUUGGCAUAAAUACCAAGUCCUCGGCGACGCACGCCACGACAAUCGGUGGUUGCGAAACCUCGGUUGCCCGUCGUGUGCGUUCGUCGCGCAUCGAGGGCUCGAAAAAAUGCUCGGCUCCGGCUGGGCUUUCAACGCGACCCCAGGUCAGGCGGGGUUACCCGCUGAAUUUAAGCAUAUCAAUAAGCGGAGGA